AGUAAUGCAUCGGAACGUGCCCAGUCGUGGGGGAUAACGCAGCGAAAGCUGUGCUAAUACCGCAUACGAUCUAUGGAUGAAAGCGGGGGACCGUAAGGCCUCGCGCGAUUGGAGCGGCCGAUGUCAGAUUAGGUAGUUGGUGGGGUAAAGGCCCACCAAGCCAACGAUCUGUAGCUGGUCUGAGAGGACGACCAGCCACACUGGGACUGAGACACGGCCCAG
rnacentral:rRNA from 1 species